rnacentral:sRNA from 1 species
UUAUACCGGGGGCAAAAGGUCAGAAGUCCGACGCGAGCCUGCCUGUAGGAGGAUUUUUGACCUUGGGACCCGGCCGGAGCGAAGCGAAGACGUGGGAGCACGCAGUGCGGAGCAAUUCGGUAUAG